AGUGAACGCUGGCGGCAGGCCUAACACAUGCAAGUCGAACGGCAGCACAGCAGUAGCAAUACUGUGGGUGGCGAGUGGCGGACGGGUGAGGAAUACAUCGGAAUCUGCCUAGUCGUGGGGGAUAACGUAGGGAAACUUACGCUAAUACCGCAUACGACCUACGGGUGAAAGCGGGGGAUCGCAAGACCUCGCGCGAUUAGAUGAGCCGAUGUCCGAUUAGCUAGUUGGCGGGGUAAUGGCCCACCAAGGCGACGAUCGGUAGCUGGUCUGAGAGGAUGAUCAGCCACACUGGAACUGAGACACGGUCCAGACUCCUACGGGAGGCAGCAGUGGGGAAUAUUGGACAAUGGGCGCAAGACCUGAUCCAGCCAUGCCGCGUGGGUGAAGAAGGCCUC
rnacentral:rRNA from 1 species